rnacentral:rRNA from 1 species
UACGGAGGGUGCAAGCGUUAUCCGGAUUCACUGGGUUUAAAGGGUGCGUAGGCGGGUUGGUAAGUCCGUGGUGAAAUCUCCAAGCUUAACUUGGAAACUGCUGUGGAUACUAUCAAUCUUGAAUAUCGUGGAGGUAAGCGGAAUAUGUCAUGUAGCGGUGAAAUGCUUAGAUAUGACAUAGAACACCAAUUGCGUAGGCAGCUUACUACACGAUCAUUGACGCUGAGGCACGAAAGCGUGGGGAGCAAACAGG